AUUGAACGCUGGCGGCAUGCCUUACACAUGCAAGUCGAACGGUAACAGGUCUUCGGAUGCUGACGAGUGGCGAACGGGUGAGUAAUACAUCGGAACGUGCCUAGUAGUGGGGGAUAACUACUCGAAAGAGUGGCUAAUACCGCAUGAGAUCUACGGAUGAAAGCAGGGGAUCGCAAGACCUUGUGCUACUAGAGCGGCCGAUGGCAGAUUAGGUAGUUGGUGGGAUAAAAGCUUACCAAGCCGACGAUCUGUAGCUGGUCUGAGAGGACGAUCAGCCAACCUGGGACUGAGACACGGCCCAGACUCCUACGGGAGGCAGCAGUGGGGAAUUUUGGACAAUGGGCGAAAGCCUGAUCCAGCAAUGCCGCGUGCAGGAUGAAGGCCUUCGGGUUGUAAACUGCUUUUGUACGGAACGAAAAGCCCCGGGUUAAUACCCUGGGGUCAUGACGGUACCGUAAGAAUAAGCACCGGCUAACUACGUGCCAGCCGCCGUAACAC
rnacentral:rRNA from 1 species